AGGAUUAACGCUGGCGGCGUGCAUGAAACAUGCAAGUCGAGCGCGGUGUGAUGCGGGGUAACCCUAUUCACAUCUAGCGGCGAACGGGUGAGUAACACGUGAGCAACCUACCUUUGAGUUGGGGAUAGCCCUGGGAAACCAGGAUUAAUACCCGAUGUGGUCACAACAGGACAUCCUGAUGUGAGUAAAGGCGCAAGCCGCUCAAUGACGGGCUCGCGGCCUAUUAGCUUGUUGGUGGGGUAACGGCCUACCAAGGCGAUGAUGGGUAGCUGGUCUGAGAGGACGAUCAGCCACACUGGGACUGAGACACGGCCCAGACUCCUACGGGAGGCAGCAGUUAGGAAUUUUCCGCAAUGGGCGAAAGCCUGACGGAGCAACGCCGCGUGAGUGAUGAAGACCUUAGGGUUGUAAAGCUCUGUCGGAGGGAAGAACACAAUGACGGUACCCUCCAAGAAACGCCCGGCUAACUACGUGCCAGCAGCCGCGGUAA
rnacentral:rRNA from 1 species